UCUCAAAAUACUUUGAUUCCAUAUUAUCUGCAAGAGCUUGCCCUUCGUUACACCAAAAAAAAGAGCUUGCCCUUCGGGCUUUGACACAGGCACACAGCCUAGAAAGGAGACAUAGAGUGAUGUCUUGACAAACCCUUUAUCAAAAAAAAAAAGUGAUGUCUUGGAAAAUCACGUGGAAAAUAAGUAAGAAAAUACCAAACAUGGAGGGAAGAGGUAAAGAUUCUCUUUUGCUUUCGUCCAUAUCAGACUUGUUCCCCACUAGAAUCUUAUUGACAUUAAGUGCUGCUCAUUGUUACGGAUCCAAUUCCUGAU
rnacentral:lncRNA from 1 species